rnacentral:lncRNA from 1 species
CCUUUUCCUAGAAAAACAGCCAGGCAAAAUCUGGCAACCAGGUCUUCAGGAGCUGUGUGCACCCUCUGGCCUGUGCUACAGGAUCAGAUAGAGAUGUCUCCUAUCCCUUGGUUAAGGUAAGCUCCCUGGGAAGGAACAGCAUGUGCUGAUCCUUAACUGUGAAUUGGACAAUAGCUCAAAGAAAUAAAUUUACCCUAGGAAGUGAAUCAGCAAGACAAGACAUGUCCCCAGAAAGCCCAUCUCCGGGAUGGCUUUGAUGCUGGCAGAGCAGCAGUCUGCUCAGAGAGCAGGUGAAGGCCAUCAGCUGGGGGCUGCACUCACUCUUCCUUAACACCUGGGAGAGUCAUCCCCCAAAGGGAGCUUUUCCACUUGCCACAGCCUUGCUUAGCUCAAUGGGAAUCGCUGAGAUCAGGUUGAAAUCUAUGAGGAGAGAGGCUGUUUUCCAGGCUGUUUGGAGAGCACACAAUGCAUGACCACUUUUCCAUGAAGCCAGGCUUGAGGAGCUUUUGAAACUGUGACCACAACAGACUGUUUGAACUGUGGUGUGAGAGAGACUGAAAAAUUCCCCAGGCAACUAUGAGGAGGUACUAACCCCAGAGUUGACAAGGAAAGCUUUUUAAGCACGAUGAAAUUCAGCACGGGCGCUGCACCCAGCAGAGGAAACUCCAGCCAUCUGGAGACGAGGAUGACCAGCGGCCACAGCAGUCUGUAAAAUUGCAAGAGCUGCCAAAAUUAAACUGUGAAGUCAGGCGGGAAGGCAACCAAUGACCAGCGAGAUCAGAAGUUCAGAGAAGCCCCAGAUGAGCUCUCAACAACAAGUGUGACCAGCGUACACCAAAGUUUAUUAAGGAUGUUGAGAGGAGGGGAAAAUAUCUGUGCAGAAGAUGCCCAGCUGGCGAGGAGGGAGUGGUGGUGAUGCUCGGGUAACUGGAGGAAUCCCAUUGGCCAAGUCCCCGGCAGAUCCCACCCAUCCGCAAGUGUAAAAUAAAUCUCUAAAGUUGUACCUCGUGUACCA